rnacentral:lncRNA from 1 species
AACUCACACAAAGCCGGCCUUUGUUAUCACCUGAGCAUGCGGAAGGGCAAUUGCCCUGAGUAUGCCAUCUCGUGCCUCUAUCACAUGCUCCUGCGUUUUCUCCACUCGACUUUCCUGGGCCCAUUCCCAGAUAGAGGAUGGAAGAAACCAGAGCAAAAUGUGAAUGCUGGGGGCUCAGCUGCCAAACAUGGAGAGACCUUGUUUCCAUGGUCAUCCAGGCUGAAUUAGAUCAGGCACUCCUGAGAUCA